rnacentral:rRNA from 1 species
UGCGUAGGCGGUUGGGUAAGUCAGACGUGAAAUUCCAGGGCUCAACCCUGAAACUGCGUUUGAUACUGCCUGACUAGAGUACUGGAGAGGAGACUGGAAUUCACGGUGUAGCAGUGAAAUGCGUAGAUAUCGUGAGGAAGACCAGUGGCGAAGGCGAGUCUCUGGACAGUAACUGACGCUGAGGCACGAAGGCUGGGGGAGCAAACG